UACGGGGGGGGCAAGCGUUGUUCGGAAUUACUGGGCGUAAAGGGCUCGUAGGCGGCCAACUAAGUCAGACGUGAAAUCCCCCGGCUUAACCUGGGAACUGCGUCUGAUACUGGAGGGCUUGAGUAUGGGAGAGGGAUGUAGAAUUCCAGGUGUAGCGGUGAAAUGCGCAGAUAUCAGGAGGAACACCGGUGGCGAAGGCGGGACUCUGGGCCGAUACUGACGCUGAGGAGCGAAAGCGUGGGGAGCAAACAGG
rnacentral:rRNA from 1 species